rnacentral:rRNA from 1 species
CAUAACGCUUUGAUUUCUUUAGUUGAAGAGAACUGGAAAGUUCCGUCGUAGAAGGUAAUAACCCUGUAGGCGAAAAGGAAAGAAAAGUAGAUCUACUCCAGAGUACCACGAGACACGUGAAACCUUGUGGGAAGCUGGGAGGACCAUCUCCCAAGGCUAAAUACUCCCUAGUGACCGAUAGUGAAGCAGUACCGUGAGGGAAAGGUGAAAAGAACCCCGGAAGGGGAGUGAAAUAGAAUCUGAAACCGUGUGCCUACAAUCGGUCGGAGCACAUUAAAGUGUGACGGCGUACUUUUUGUAGAACGGGCCAGCGAGUUACGAUAUAUAGCAAGGUUAAGCACUUAUGGUGUGGAGCCGAAGGGAAACCGAGUCUGAAUAGGGCAACUAGUUGUAUAUUGUAGACCCGAAACCGGGUGACCUAUCCAUGGCCAGGAUGAAGCGGAAGUAAAAUUCCGUGGAGGUCCGAACCACGUUGGUGUUGAAAAACCAUGGGAUGAGCUGUGGAUAGCGGAGAAAUUCCAAUCGAACUCGGAGAUAGCUGGUUCUCCUCGAAAUAGCUUUAGGGCUAGCGUCGGGUAAUUGAGUAGUGGAGGUAGAGCACUGAAUGGGCUAGGGGCUGACAACAGUUACUGAACCCUAUCAAACUCCGAAUGCCAUAUACUUGUACCCCGGCAGUCAGACUACGAAUGAUAAGAUCCGUGGUCAAAAGG